GCUCCAUCCCUCUCAACAUAGACACCGCCGCAACCUGGGCAGGGUGAAAAACUGUGACCUCAGAGGCCGAAAACCCGAGGCCGCCACCGGACAUGAGUGUGCAGGAGCACUCCCCGCCCAAAGGACACAAACUUCCUCACACUUGCCCACAGCUCCGAACAGAGACCCAGCCCUCCCCCACCCAGGGGAAGUGAACUGCUUGAGAGUAAUUCCCUCCACGCCCACCAGAUUUGGCAGAUCUCCAAUUCAACUCAGGUCGCUGGAGGAGGGCUGCAGCCAAGUGCAUGGCUCAGCUACAGGUAAGAAGCCCAGAUGAACACCUGGAUUACAAACUCUUGGGGACAUGCGAGGAAGAGCAGGGCUUCUCUGCACCUCCUAGCGAGGCCAGGCACAGUGCUGGGCAUAAAACAGAUGCUUAAUAAAUUCUUCGAAGUGUGUGACGAGCAGGGG
rnacentral:lncRNA from 1 species